rnacentral:lncRNA from 1 species
UUUAAGGGCAUCCGAUACAGUUUCUCGAUUAAAUGUCAUUUUUAUAAAUUUGUAAUAUGUUGUAGGCCUUGGCGAGAUAUAAAAUAAAACACAAAAUAAAACAUAGGUCACCGUGCUUGUUUUCGAGAAAAUUGAGGCUAAAAAUUGGGGAUUUGUGCAAUUUUGUAAAAAAAUUAGGCAAUGUUAAAAAAAAUUUUGGAGCAGAUAUGUUUCGUCGUAAAUUAUUAAGAUCGGGUUCAAUCUGAAGCUGUGAUAAGUGACAAAAAGGAAAAAAAUAAAUCACUACAUGAAUAACUAUACAAUUAUUCAAGCCUUGCUUGUCAUUGCGGACCAGAUGCUCAAAGUGGUAUUUUUUUAAACCUAAAAAAAUAGAAAUAAACUGUUUCUGAAAAUGUCAUUUUUAUGAUUUUUCUGCAUAAAUUGCAUUUUGUCAUUCUUUCUCCAAAUCCCAAAUAAAAAAUAUAGGUCACCGUGCUUGAUUCCAUGAUAAACGCGAUUUAUCCUAAAAAUUGCGUCCCCCCUUUGUAACCUCAACGUUAGCGCUAAAGUGCACGACGUCGCUGGCAGACAAUUUCGACGUUAUCUCUGCAAAUGACCGGAGACAUUUUUCAGAUGUAUAAAUAUUGCUUGUAACAUGUGUAAAUUACUAUCUAUAAAUUGGUAAUAUUGUUUCCGGAAAUAAAAUCAUGUGAAUAACAAAUCCCUCUCUCUGUUUGUGGUCUAAGUGAGAAAUAAACAUCUCAAGAAAAGUUAUUACGGACUGUUGAUAAUUUUUACGGCUUUUAAAAUUAAAUACUCGGCAAUUUAGAACUUGACAUACAGGUACAUUUACUGUACACACUCGUAUAUUAUUUCAUACCGUAUGUUGACCUCUAGAUUUAUUUUGUUUUGUUUGGUGGGCUGCUGUUUCAUUACAAAUAAUCCUUUAAAUCCUUUUAUUCAC